GCGGGACGGGACGCUGCUGCUACACGCCGGAGAACGGUCUCCGGUCCAGACUCUGCAGAGUGACGACGCGAGAGCUGAGGGCGUGGCCAGCCAAUAGCCAAGCUCCUAGCAUCAGCGUAAUCACCGACCGUGUCCUCUGUGCUGUCACUCGCCGGGAGGGGCUCAGUCAGUCAGCGUCAGCUGCUUGGCCGGGAAUGUCCAUGCUGGGCCUGUCCUACCGCUGCUGUGUGCGUGUGUGAUGCUGCGUGAUGGCAGAACGGGCCCUCCCCCCGCACUCACUGCAUCCAGCUCCAAUAUUUGUUUCUACAUGAGUGAAGGUAUUACCCUACCCCUCUGCCAGUCUUACGCAAACAUGGCUGCACUGUCACCAAGCCAGAACAAAUCUUCAUGGUGGCUGCACAGACAUUUAUUUUACUGCCAACACAUCCACUACAGAUUUGAAGAUGCGGACACAACCAAAACUUCAAUCCACAGUGACCAUGCCCAACUAGCCCACACGUCUCUGAAAAACCAGAAAAACUAACCAGUUGUAAGAAAGACGUGAUUGUUGUGGUGAUAUGGACUGGGGGGAGAUUUAGUCAGCUGUGUCUUAUUUAUUCAACUGCAUGAAUACACUGUCCCCUAUACUGA